rnacentral:lncRNA from 1 species
GGUCAGGAGUUUAUAGUAAGGGUGGGUACACAUCAUGGGGUGACAAAUUCAGCAUAGGUUGAAAACUAUGGCUUGCAGGAUACAGGAGGUUUAGGAAAUUCUCCUAAGGUAUGGAGACUUAAUAUCAAUGUAUGACAAUGUGGUUUCCCUUUUGGUUUCUCAGUAUCUGCCACCAAUCCUGAUGACCUGAGUGUAAUCCCAGACAGAGAAGGCUGGUUAUCUCAUGGAUUCUCUCUGUGUCUGUCUGUCUCUCUCUCUCACACACACAGAGACAUAUACACACAUAUGAAUAAGUGUGAUUAGUUAGCCUAAAUCAGUCAGUCCUUCUCUCCCUCCCCACUUUUCCCCCUCCCUUUUUUCUUUCUUGUUUGGCAGGGUAGAGUCAUCUUGCUCAGUCCCUCUGCCUGUGAUUAGCAUUCUUCUGUGUGACAGUUACCA